UUCUACGAAUUUUCCAGGAAAAACUCCUGUUUCGGGAUCACAUCUAUUGCUAAUAAUAUUUCCUAUUGUUAACAACCUUAGUCUUCGGAUAAAGGUUUUCCGGGCAUAAAUAAUCGACCAUAUUCGAAUUCGUUUUCGCGCCACAUUUUAAAAACCGUUUGUUUACAGGCAUUCUCUUAUAGCAACAAGUAACUUGCCACUUGACAACACCCGCGCUUUUCUCUUGCAACGUUAAUUCACAUGAUCACAGUUUGGAUCAGUAAUAUUUAACGAAAACAACGUAGGAUCAGCCUUUCACUAUUUUGUUAAAUGUCCCGAUAUGCUGUUCAAAGAUUUGUUCUUUUUUCUUCUGCAAUCCAAACAUUAGGGAACACUAGCUUGGUUAUCCAGCAGUGAGUUAGGCAAAUUAGAGCUGUUUUGUAUGGCUCAAGGAAUCACUCGAUUGACGCAAAUCAAAAACUUUUUGCAGUUGUUCAAAUAAGUACUAGUUAAAACAUGAGCAGCCGAUCUUUACAUCUGAUAUACAAACUUGAUCCGAUGCAUAAAUUUUGCUUUAUGCACUCGCGUGUGCAGUAAUUUUGAGAC